rnacentral:lncRNA from 7 species
AGUAAAUAUUUUGCCCUACAGAAAUUGAUGUUCAUGUAAAUGAUCCUCCUAAUCUAUGCUAAACAUGAAAAACUACACUACUCAGCCACAGCCUGCCUUUGUAAAGCUUGGAUGUGCUGGCACAAAGCAGCCAAGAGAUAUCUGCCUAGACACACCAGGAUGGAAUCUGGGGAAUGUGAAGUGGAAGCUAAGCAGUGCCGGCAGCACCUGGGAGCAGCCAGCCUCCAUACCUGCUUUGGGAAGACACAGAAGAGAAGUCUCAAGCUCAAGGGGGACCGGUUAAUAUGAGUUUCUGAAAGGACCUACCACCAUCCAUGCAGUAGAGGGAUUAAAUUACUGAAGACCAGAAGACAAAGAGAGAAAAACAUUUGGGGUCUGUGGCUUACUGCCAUUAAGACAUAUGGACCAGGACAGCUCAAGGUAACCUCAAAAUCCCUGAUGCGUAAAAAAGGCCUAGAAAUACUUCUGCAGCUCCGGAAGCAGGUGGCCAGAUUGAGACCAUGAUCUGUGUCACACUGAGGGACCACUCACUGAUCUGUGCGUGGGCUUUUAU